rnacentral:rRNA from 1 species
GAUGAACGCUGGCGGCGUGCUUAACACAUGCAAGUCGAACGGAAAGGCCCAAGCUUGCUUGGGUACUCGAGUGGCGAACGGGUGAGUAACACGUGGGUGAUCUGCCCUGCACUUCGGGAUAAGCCUGGGAAACUGGGUCUAAUACCGGAUAGGACCACAUUUUGGAUGGUGUGGUGGAAAGUUUUUCGGUGUGGGAUGAGCUCGCGGCCUAUCAGCUUGUUGGUGGGGUAAUGGCCUACCAAGGCGUCGACGGGUAGCCGGCCUGAGAGGGUGUACGGCCACAUUGGGACUGAGAUACGGCCCAGACUCCUACGGGAGGCAGCAGUGGGGAAUAUUGCACAAUGGGCGCAAGCCUGAUGCAGCGACGCCGCGUGGGGGAUGACGGCCUUCGGGUUGUAAACUCCUUUCGCUAGGACGAAGCGUUUUUGUGACGGUACCUGGAGAAGAAGCACCGGCUAACUACGUG